UUUCUCGGCGGCCGGCGGAGGGACAACACACCUAUCGCGUCGGGAUUUUGACCGUCGGCCCGGGUCUUUGUUUAUUCAUAUCAGUAUUAUUAAGUGUUGGGUCUGCUAUACAUAGAAAGUAAAAUCAGUGCGUGUUUGAGCAAUAUUUUUUCGUAGAGAUUUGGUGAGAGAAAACGUUACGAGUAGAAGGUCGCGCCCGAGUCGAAUUGACCGUUGACGUUUUCGAUCGUUUUUGCACUGCCCCCCGGGGCUCAUUAGUUUUAGCUUUUUUCGUAUUUUUUCUUUGUGUAGCUAUACUUUGUGCUUAGUUUCGCGAUAAUAACGAAUUUAUCGUUUGUACUCAAGUAAUUUCCAAUCGCGAACCGUGAAGUGUGACGCGCAGCGACAUUUUGGGAAAACCAUGAGAGGACGAGUAUUGCUACAGCUAAGGUUUGAAGAAAAACCAUUAGACAUUUGAGAUCAAACUGAGCAAAAUGAACCUAGGAUAAGGCAUCACGAUGUCAUGGAAAAUCAUGAGAAGAUAAUCUGAAUACCCAAUAUAGUCAUAUCCAAGUUCCAGUCGUCCCCGGAUAUACCUGGCUUUCUCGAAUCUCCGAGACCAGCGCGUAUAAGACUGUCGGAGAAGAAAGAAAGAAUGAAAUUUCAGAGCUGAAUAGCCGCACGCCGUAAAGUCGAGUGGAAAGAAAGGCGGAGACGAGCGGGUUUAUACGUCGAUGGAGGAGUCAGACAGUAAGUUACAGCACCAUCUCAACGCCACGCCCCUGAAUUUCGUCGAAUAAGGUAAUAAUGGCCUCUUGGAGCUUAAAUGCAUCGAUAGUUCAACUCUUGCUCAACUUAAGGUAAGCUAAUAAUGCAUU